rnacentral:misc_RNA from 1 species
UUUGGAUUUAAAGUCGUACACGGAGGAAGAAUCACCGCCGGUGAUUGGAUUCCGCGACACGAUUGCCGAAGCAGCCUGGUUGGGCCUCCACGACGGCUGCGUGGAACUGAGAGAACAAAGCCUCCUAGCUGCAACUCUCAACAUCUUCUUCUCUCUGCAAAUGUUUCGACUUUCCUUUGUUUCCGAAAGGAUCCUCUCUCUGAAAAGGCAAUAGGCG